UACGAGGGGGGCAAAUGUUGUUCGGAAUCACUGGGCGUAAAGGGCGCGUAGGCGGGUCGGCAAGUCAGGGGUGAAAUCCCGCGGCUCAACCGCGGAAGCGCCUUUGAUACUGCCGGUCUCGAGGGAGGCAGGGGAGUGCGGAACUUCCGGUGGAGCGGGUGAAAUGCGUAGAUAUCGGAAGGAACAUCGGUGGCGAAAGCGGCGCUCUGGACCUCUACUGACGCUGAGGCGCGAAAGCCAGGGGAGCAAACGGG
rnacentral:rRNA from 1 species